rnacentral:rRNA from 1 species
UUGAACGCUGGCGGCAGGCCUAACACAUGCAAGUCGAGCGGAUGAAGGGAGCUUGCUCCUGGAUUCAGCGGCGGACGGGUGAGUAAUGCCUAGGAAUCUGCCUGGUAGUGGGGGAUAACGUCCGGAAACGGGCGCUAAUACCGCAUACGUCCUGAGGGAGAAAGUGGGGGAUCUUCGGACCUCACGCUAUCAGAUGAGCCUAGGUCGGAUUAGCUAGUUGGUGGGGUAAAGGCCUACCAAGGCGACGAUCCGUAACUGGUCUGAGAGGAUGAUCAGUCACACUGGAACUGAGGCACGGUCCAGACUCCUACGGGAGGCAGCAGUGGGGAAUAUUGGACAAUGGGCGAAAGCCUGAUCCAGCCAUGCCGCGUGUGUGAAGAAGGUCUUCGGAUUGUAAAGCACUUUAAGUUGGGAGGAAGGGCAGUAAGUUAAUACCUUGCUGUUUUGACGUUACCAACAGAAUAAGCACCGGCUAACUUCGU